UCCGCAAUGGGCGAAAGCCUGACGGAGCGACGCCGCGUGCGGGAUGAAGGCCUUCGGGUUGUAAACCGCUGUCAGUUGGGAGGAAAUCUAUGGGGGUUCUCCCCCAUAGUUGACCUAUCUUCAGAGGAAGGACGGGCUAAGUUCGUGCCAGCAGCCGCGGCAAGACGAACCGUCCAAACGUUAUUCGGAAUCACUGGGCUUAAAGGGUGCGUAGACAGAUAGACAAGUUGGGUGUGAAAUCCCUCGGCUCAACCGAGGAACCGCGCUCAAAACUGCCAAGCUAGCGGAAGAUAGAGGUGAGCGGAACUAGUGGUGGAGCGGUGAAAUGCGUUGAUAUCAUUAGGAACACCUGUGGCGAAAGCGGCUCACUGGGUCUUUUCUGACGCUGAGGCACGAAAGCUAGGGUAGCGAACGGGAUUAGAUACCCCGGUAGUCCUAGCUGUAAACGAUGAGCACUAGGUUGGAGGUUCCUCCAUAGGUUUCCGACCGAAGCGAAAGUGUUAAGUGCUCCGCCUGGGGAGUUUGGUAAGCAAGGCUGAAACUCAAAGGAA
rnacentral:rRNA from 1 species